CAGUCGCCGCGGUAAUACGUAGGGUGCGAGCGUUAAUCGGAAUUACUGGGCGUAAAGCGAGCGCAGACGGUUAUUUAAGCAGGAUGUGAAAUCCCCGGGCUUAACCUGGGAACUGCGUUCUGAACUGGAUAGCUAGAGUGUGUCAGAGGGGGGUAGAAUUCCACGUGUAGCAGUGAAAUGCGUAGAGAUGUGGAGGAAUACCGAUGGCGAAGGCAGCCCCCUGGGAUAACACUGACGUUCAUGCUCGAAAGCGUGGGUAGCAAACAGGAUUAGAUACCCCCGUAGUCCCUGUCUCUUAUAC
rnacentral:rRNA from 1 species